rnacentral:rRNA from 1 species
GACGAACGCUGGCGGCGUGCUUAACACAUGCAAGUCGAACGGAAAGGCCUCUUUCGGGGGGUACUCGAGUGGCGAACGGGUGAGUAACACGUGAGUAACCUGCCCUUGACUUUGGGAUAACUUCAGGAAACUGGGGCUAAUACCGGAUAGGAGCUCCUGCUGCAUGGUGGGGGUUGGAAAGUUUCGGCGGUUGGGGAUGGACUCGCGGCUUAUCAGCUUGUUGGUGGGGUAGUGGCUUACCAAGGCUUUGACGGGUAGCCGGCCUGAGAGGGGGACCGGCCACAUUGGGACUGAGAUACGGCCCAGACUCCUACGGGAGGCAGCAGUGGGGAAUAUUGCACAAUGGGUGGAAGCCUGAUGCAGCAACGCCGUGUGCGGGAUGACGGCCUUCGGGUUGUAAACCGCUUUCGCUCAUGACGAAGCUUUGUGUGACGGUAGUGGGUAAAGAAGCACCGGCUAACUACGUG